rnacentral:rRNA from 1 species
GUGAGGAAUUUUCCGCAAUGGGCGAAAGCCUGACGGAGCAAUGCCGCGUGAAGGAUGAAGGCCUAUGGGUUGUAAACUUCUUUUCUCAGAAAAGAAUUAUGACGGUAUCUGAGGAAUAAGCAUCGGCUAACUCUGUGCCAGCAGCCGCGGUAAGACAGAGGAUGCAAGCGUUAUCCGGAAUGAUUGGGCGUAAAGCGUCUGUAGGUUGUUUAAAAAGUAUUCUGUCAAAGAUUAGGGCUUAACCCUAGAUAGGCAGAAUAAACUUUUAAGCUAGAGUUUGGUAGAGGCAGAGGGAAUUCCCGGUGGAGCUGUGAAAUGCGUAGAUAUCGGGAGGAACACCAAAGGCGAAGGCACUCUGCUGGGCCAAUACUAACACUGAGAGACGAAAGCGAGGGGAGCAAAUGGGAUUAGAUACCCGAGUAGUCC